rnacentral:lncRNA from 1 species
UCGCUGGCCAGCGAGAAUGAGAAUGAAUUGAGCGGGAAACGCUUGCUUGUUUUAUUCUACGCAGGCGUUACUACAAAGGAAAUAGCUACGAUUCCCUGUGCUGAGUUGCUGAAGCAGAAAUAUUGACGUAACAAAUAUCACCAGAGCAUAUCAAACAAUCUGUGAUAAGGAGCAGGAGUAGUGGAUGAUGGCCGUUUGGUACCUGCUCUGCUCUUUGUCUGCAAUAUUUUGUUUGACAAGUGCAAACACUUAUAAAAUCACCCAAAGUGGUAAGUAAAUUCACAAACCUUUUUUUUCUC